UAUACUCAACCCUAUAAACCCUCAACCACUAUUGGACGACUCCAUAAAUAUAUGGAAGACACUAUGCUUGAACUAGUAACAAGAAUACGAAAUUCUCCUAAAUGUAAGCAUAAGCCACAAUAGACAGACUAUUGGCAAUUAACGCCCAAUUACAUCAACCCCACCAGAAAACCCUGUAAAACCCAACGUUAACCUUACACCAGAACAUUUUAGGAAAGAUUAAAAGGAGAAGAAGGAACUCGGCAAACCCCAACCCCGCCUGUUUACCAAAAACAUCGCCUCUUGCUCAAAUAUAAGAGGUCCAGCCUGCCCAGUGAUUAUUAAACGGCCGCGGUACCCUAACCGUGCUAAGGUAGCACAAUUACUUGCCCUUUAAAUGGGGGCUAGAAUGAAUGACACCACGAGGGUUAUACUGUCUCCUCCCCCCAAUCAGUGAAACUGACCUCCCCGUGAAAAGGCGGGGAUCAAAAUAUUAGACGAGAAGACCCCAUGGAGCUUUAGACACCAGGUAAAUUUAGACACUUUAUCUCUAAGUCUAAAAUAUAUACCCUUAAGUCUUCGGUUGGGGCGACCAUGGAGUAAAAAUCAACCUCCACGACGAACGGAUUAUUCCUUAUCCAAGAGCAACACCUCCAAGAAACAGAACACUGACGCCUACUGAUCCGGAAGCCCGAUCAACGAACCAAGUUACCCUGGGGAUAACAGCGCAAUCUACCUUGAGAGUUCAUAUUGACAGGUGGGUUUACGACCUCGAUGUUGGAUCAGGGUAUCCUGGUGGUGCAGCCGCUACACAUGGUUCGUUUGU
rnacentral:rRNA from 1 species